CCAAGCCUAUGCCUUUGCAGCCAUCCUGGGAAACUGGGUCUGGGGAAGGGACUAUUUAAACACUUGGUGAGUUGGAGGACAGUGGCUUUUGUUGGCCAAAGUUCUGGGCUAGGUGGCACUCACUUGAGGUAGACUGAAGGAAGGUAGAAAAAAUUCCUACUUCUGUAUCAGUUUUAUUCAUUUAUUCCUUUAAGUUAUAGAAGCCAUCUUGGUUUUGAAGCUUCUUAGUAAAAUAAUUCAAAAGCCCACUUUUUAUUAUGGUUUUGUAGUUUAGAGAGUUCUUUCACAGGCCUUAUCUCAUUUGGUCCUCACAUUAAUCCUGUGUGGUGGCAGGAUAAGGGCUUUAUCCCUGUCUUAGAAAUCAGAAGGCUGUAGCCCAGAUAAUUUAAGUUAAUUCUGUGAUUUCACACAGCUAAUGAUGAUGGAGCUGGAACUUGGAGCCAGAUCACCUAUCUCAAGAUGCAAUCCUCUCCCACAAAGCCAUGCAGCCUAACUAUCGCAUCUAAACACUUCAGAGAGAGAAGCUGUUCCUGGCUGAGUUUAGUUUUAAAACACGUGUCAGAUACUGUGUUGGUUCUGGGGCUCCAGGCAAGGCAAGAGGGAGUAGCCAUAAAUCCAUCACUAAGUAAGACUGCUAAGAGCUGUAGAACAGGAAACAGGGACUGGGCAUCUGGGGGAAUCCCCUCCCCCACUAGACAUAUUUAUUGGAUGAAAUUGAUGACUGUUGUUAGCUACAUCUGCCAUCUUGUCUUCUAGAGCAAGGUUCUACAACCAUUCUUUUCUGUUAACACUAAUCAGCUGCUAUUGUAGCAUGGGAGCAGCAAUAAACAACAUGUAAGUCAGUAGAUGUGACUGUGUUCCAAUAAAACUUUAUUUACAAAACCAAGUAGCAGCAGAUUUGGCCCCAUGCUGUCCUAGAGCAUUGACAGUCCUUUGGUUCUGUCUUGAUUCCAGAGAUAUCUUCCUCUUCUGCCCCCUCCUCAGCCUUAGCCUUCAGACCACAAGAGUGUCUUCCAGACCUGAGAAUGCUUUGAUCGCUAGGUGAUGAGCUGUUAGGCCCUCAAUCAUGUCAGUGGCAUCUCUCCCUGACCCCUGUGACAGCCAAAAAUGUCUCCAGAUGUGGCCAAAUGUCCCCUGUGGGCAAAAUUACUUCCAGUUGAGAACCUCUAUAUGAUACAAAGCUCCUGCGGAGUAGAUGGACUUCUGUCUGCAGGUCUAUCUGCCUCCUCUCCCCACUGUCUUGUUUAGUCACCACUGCAAUAGAUACAUAUUUUUAUAGAAGGAUCUGCAGAGAAAGCAGAAAGGCUUUGUCUGUCAAUCAGCCGAGAGUGGAGUUCAGCAGACCAAAUCUACGUGUCAGAAAUAAGAGACUUCUCACACACACUUGAAGUAUCUCUCCAUGAGUGUUUACCGCUUCCUUUGUGCAGGGCUUUGAGUCCUGUGUGGCAUCAGACAGGCCUGUCUUAAGUUCCUGAAAACAGUACUUGGCACUGAGCCUGGGCCCAACAAAAGUUUACCAGAUCAAUCAAUGAAUGAAAGAAAAUGUCGUCGAGGAAACAAGAUAGGGCUACAGAGAAACUGAUGAACGUCGCUGGCGAUUAGUGUUGCAUGGAGCAGGGUGGGAGGCAUGGCAGGCGGCACCAGUGUUGGCCUUGUGGACAAGGAGGGAUUUGGACAUGAAAAAAUGGGCAGGAGGGCCUCACAAGCUGGGGCACCCAGGGCAACCUUGGCGCAGAGAGAGGCAAAGCUCUGAACUGGUCCCAACCCUUUGUGCAUGGGGUGUGGUCAGAGCUGGGGUUGAGAAAGGUGUGGCUUUGAAUCCUACAUCACCCUAUAUCACCUGUGAUCCUAGCAGGCCCUAGGCCUCCACCUCUACAUCUCUUCCCUCACUAAUGAGAUGUAAAUGUGGGCCUGCAACCCCUGCACUGCAAUUCUGAAACCCAAAAGUCCUAAAAGUCUUUUUUUUUUUUUUUUGGUAAGUUUACAGCUAACUCAUUUGGCAGCAAAAUCUGACAUGGGUGGCUGAAGAAAUUCUAUUCUUUACUCAUCUCUCUCAGGAUGAGUAACCCACACAUCUCACCACAGAAAUGUUGGCUGUGUUUAAAGGUGGGGCUGCACUCCAGACCUCCCCAGGGGAUUGGGUGUUGUUUGCUGUUUGCUUCUCUGUUCUUUCAAAAGGCCCCAGGGUGCUGGUAAAGGGUCCUGGGCCUGGAUCCAUGUAUAGAAGGGAUUAGCAUUGCAUUCUGUGCAUUUUGGUGCCUAAUAAAGAUCAGCUGUUUUUGCCA